rnacentral:sRNA from 1 species
UGCAUUUGUUAGUGCUUUGGUUUUGGA